UACGUAGGGACCGAGCGUUGUCCGGAAUCAUUGGGCGUAAAGCGCGUGUAGGCGGCCCGAUAAGUCCGCUGUGAAAGUCCAGGGCUCAACCCUGGGAUGCCGGUGGAUACUGUCGGGCUCGAGUCCGGAAGAGGCGAGUGGAAUUCCUGGUGUAGCGGUGAAAUGCGCAGAUAUCAGGAGGAACACCAAUGGCGAAGGCAGCUCGCUGGGACGUGACUGACGCUGAGACGCGAAAGCGUGGGGAGCAAACAGG
rnacentral:rRNA from 1 species